CAGUAGCCGCGGUAAUACGUAGGGUGCAAGCGUUAAUCGGAAUUACUGGGCGUAAAGCGUGCGCAGGCGGUGUUGUAAGACUGAUGUGAAAUCCCCGGGCUCAACCUGGGGACUGCGCUUGUGACUGCACAGCUAGAGUAUGGCAGAGGGGGGUGGAAUUCCACGUGUAGCAGUGAAAUGCGUAGAGAUGUGGAGGAACACCGAUGGCGAAGGCAGCCCCCUGGGCCAAUACUGACGCUCAUGCACGAAAGCGUGGGGAGCAAACAGGAUUAGAUACCCCGGUAGUCCCUGUCUCUUAUAC
rnacentral:rRNA from 1 species